rnacentral:rRNA from 1 species
UACGUAGGGGGCAAGCGUUGUCCGGAAUCAUUGGGCGUAAAGAGCGUGUAGGCGGCUCGGUAAGUCCGCUCUGAAAGCCCGGGGCUCAACCCCGGGAGGCGGGCGGAUACUGUCGAGCUAGAGUCCGGAAGAGGCGAGUGGAAUUCCUGGUGUAGCGGUGAAAUGCGCAGAUAGUCAGGAGGAACACCAAUGGCGAAGGCAGCUCGCUGGGACGGUACUGACGCUGAGACGCGAAAGCGUGGGGAGCAAACAGG